GAGUUUUCCCACAUCCUGGAGGGCCAUAGAAUAGUACUCCCUUCGAUGGCGACAUUCCAAACUUCUCAAACUUCUCGGGAUGCUCCACUGGAUAUUGAACAGUCUACUUGCCAAAAGUAACAAAUUAAUCCCAUUUUUAAAAGAAAUUGAA